rnacentral:rRNA from 1 species
CCCAGACUCCUACGGGAGGCAGCAGUGGGGAAUAUUGCACAAUGGGCGAAAGCCUGAUGCAGCAACGCCGCGUGAAGGAAGACGGUUUUCGGAUUGUAAACUUCUGUUCUUAGUGAAGAAUAAUGACGGUAACUAAGGAGCAAGCCACGGCUAACUACGUGCCAGCAGCCGCGGUAAUACGUAGGGGGCAAGCGUUAUCCGGAUUUACUGGGUGUAAAGGGAGCGCAGGCGGCGUGGUAAGUCAGAUGUGAAAACCCGGGGCCCAACCCCGGGAGUGCAUUUGAAACUGCCAUGCUGGAGUGCCGGAGAGGUAAGCGGAAUUCCUAGUGUAGCGGUGAAAUGCGUAGAUAUUAGGAGGAACACCAGUGGCGGAGGCGGCUUACUGGACGGUAACUGACGCUGAGGCUCGAAAGCGUGGGGAGCAAACAGGAUUAGAUACCCCAGUA